AAGGGAGAGGAAUACGUAGAAAUCUACCCCUGAGACCGGGAUAGCGUCGGGAAACUGGCAGUAAUACCGGAUAAUGUCUUAGGACCAAAGGUGUGAUUCCACUUGGGGAUGAGUCUACGCCCUAUUAGCUAGUUGGUGGGGUAAUGGCCUACCAAGGCGAUGAUGGGUAGCGGGUGUGAGAGCAUGAUCCGCCUCACUGGGACUGAGAACUGCCCAGACACCUACGGGUGGCUGCAGUCGAGAAUCUUUGUCAAUGGACGAAAGUCUGAACAAGCGACGCCGCGUGCGGGAUGAAGGCCUUCGGGUUGUAAACCGCUGUCGUAGGGGAACAAAUGUACGGGGGUUCUCCCCUGUAUUUGAGUGAUCCUAGGAGGAAGGAGAGGCUAAGCUCGUGCCAGCAGCCGCGGUAAGACGAGCUCUCCAAACGUUAUUCGGUAUCACUGGGCUUAAAGAGUUCGUAGGCGGCCUAGCAGGUCAGGUGUGAAAUCCCACAGCUCAACUGUGGAAUAGCGCUUGAAACCGUUAGGCUUGAGGGAGAUAGAGGUAGGCGGAACAGAUGGUGGAGCGGUGAAAUGCGUUGA
rnacentral:rRNA from 1 species